rnacentral:rRNA from 1 species
CCUAAGGUAGCGAAAUUCCUUGUCGGGUAAGUUCCGACCUGCACGAAUGGCGUAAUGAUGGCCAGGCUGUCUCCACCCGAGACUCAGUGAAAUUGAACUCGCUGUGAAGAUGCAGUGUACCCGCGGCAAGACGGAAAGACCCCGUGAACCUUUACUAUAGCUUGACACUGAACACUGGUCCUUGAUGUGUAGGAUAGGUGGGAGGCUUUGAAGCGUGGACGCCAGUCUGCGUGGAGCCAACCUUGAAAUACCACCCUUUAAUGGCUGGUGUUCUAACGUAGACCCGUAAUCCGGGUUGCGGACAGUGUCUGGUGGGUAGUUUGACUGGGGCGGUCUCCUCCCAAAGAGUAACGGAGGAGCACGAAGGUUGGCUAAUCCUGGUCGGACAUCAGGAGGUUAGUGCAAUGGCAUAAGCCAGCUUGACUGCGAGCGUGACGGCGCGAGCAGGUGCGAAAGCAGGUCAUAGUGAUCCGGUGGUUCUGAAUGGAAGGGCCAUCGCUCAACGGAUAAAAGGUACUCCGGGGAUAACAGGCUGAUACCGCCCAAGAGUUCAUAUCGACGGCGGUGUUUGGCACCUCGAUGUCGGCUCAUCACAUCCUGGGGCUGAAGUAGGUCCCAAGGGUAUGGCUGUUCGCCAUUUAAAGUGGUACGCGAGCUGGGUUUAGAACGUCGUGAGACAGUUCGGUCCCUAUCUGCCGUGGGCGCUGGAGAAUUGAGGGGGGCUGCUCCUAGUACGAGAGGACCGGAGUGGACGCAUCACUGGUGUUCGGGUUGUCAUGCCAAUGGCACUGCCCGGUAGCUAAAUGCGGAAAAGAUAAGUGCUGAAAGCAUCUAAGCACGAAACUUGCCCCGAGAUGAGUUCUCCCUGA